UGAAAUCCCCGGGCUCAACCUGGGAACUGCAUCUGAUACUGGCAAGCUUGAGUCUCGUAGAGGGGGGUAGAAUUCCAGGUGUAGCGGUGAAAUGCGUAGAGAUCUGGAGGAAUACCGGUGGCGAAGGCGGCCCCCUGGACGAAGACUGACGCUCAGGUGCGAAAGCGUGGGGAGCAAACAGGAUUAGAUACCCUGGUAGUCCACGCCGUAAACGAUGUCGACUUGGAGGUUGUGCCCUUGAGGCGUGGCUUCCGGAGCUAACGCGUUAAGUCGACCGCCUGGGGAGUACGGCCGCAAGGUUAAAACUCAAAUGAAUUGACGGGGGCCCGCACAAGCGGUGGAGCAUGUGGUUUAAUUCGAUGCAACGCGAAGAACC
rnacentral:rRNA from 1 species